rnacentral:rRNA from 1 species
AAAUUGAAGAGUUUGAUCAUGGCUCAGAUUGAACGCUGGCGGCAGGCCUAACACAUGCAAGUCGAACGGUAACAGGAAGCAGCUUGCUGCUUUGCUGACGAGUGGCGGACGGGUGAGUAAUGUCUGGGAAACUGCCUGAUGGAGGGGGAUAACUACUGGAAACGGUAGCUAAUACCGCAUAACGUCGCAAGACCAAAGAGGGGGACCUUAGGGCCUCUUGCCAUCGGAUGUGCCCAGAUGGGAUUAGCUUGUUGGUGGGGUAACGGCUCACCAAGGCGACGAUCCCUAGCUGGUCUGAGAGGAUGACCAGCCACACUGGAACUGAGACACGGUCCAGACUCCUACGGGAGGCAGCAGUGGGGAAUAUUGCACAAUGGGCGCAAGCCUGAUGCAGCCAUGCCGCGUGUAUGAAGAAGGCCUUCGGGUUGUAAAGUACUUUCAGCGGGGAGGAAGGGAGUAAAGUUAAUACCUUUGCUCAUUGACGUUACCCGCAGAAGAAGCACCGGCUAACUCCGUGCCAGCAGCCGCGGUAAUACGGAGGGUGCAAGCGUUAAUCGGAAUUACUGGGCGUAAAGCGCACGCAGGCGGUUUGUUAAGUCAGAUGUGAAAUCCCCGGGCUCAACCUGGGAACUGCAUCUGAUACUGGCAAGCUUGAGUCUCGUAGAGGGGGGUAGAAUUCCAGGUGUAGCGGUGAAAUGCGUAGAGAUCUGGAGGAAUACCGGUGGCGAAGGCGGCCCCCUGGACGAAGACUGACGCUCAGGUGCGAAAGCGUGGGGAGCAAACAGGAUUAGAUACCCUGGUAGUCCACGCCGUAAACGAUGUCGACUUGGAGGUUGUGCCCUUGAGGCGUGGCUUCCGGAGCUAACGCGUUAAGUCGACCGCCUGGGGAGUACGGCCGCAAGGUUAAAACUCAAAUGAAUUGACGGGGGCCCGCACAAGCGGUGGAGCAUGUGGUUUAAUUCGAUGCAACGCGAAGAACCUUACCUGGUCUUGACAUCCACAGAACUUUCCAGAGAUGGAUUGGUGCCUUCGGGAACUGUGAGACAGGUGCUGCAUGGCUGUCGUCAGCUCGUGUUGUGAAAUGUUGGGUUAAGUCCCGCAACGAGCGCAACCCUUAUCCUUUGUUGCCAGCGGUCCGGCCGGGAACUCAAAGGAGACUGCCAGUGAUAAACUGGAGGAAGGUGGGGAUGACGUCAAGUCAUCAUGGCCCUUACGACCAGGGCUACACACGUGCUACAAUGGCGCAUACAAAGAGAAGCGACCUCGCGAGAGCAAGCGGACCUCAUAAAGUGCGUCGUAGUCCGGAUUGGAGUCUGCAACUCGACUCCAUGAAGUCGGAAUCGCUAGUAAUCGUGGAUCAGAAUGCCACGGUGAAUACGUUCCCGGGCCUUGUACACACCGCCCGUCACACCAUGGGAGUGGGUUGCAAAAGAAGUAGGUAGCUUAACCUUCGGGAGGGCGCUUACCACUUUGUGAUUCAUGACUGGGGUGAAGUCGUAACAAGGUAACCGUAGGGGAACCUGCGGUUGGAUCACCUCCUUA